UAUAAAAAAAUACUGUUGUUUGUUUGUCAGUUUCAUUAUUCUUUAUUCAGCGUGUGUUUGAUCAUUAUCCAUUCUCUGCAGCUGAUCUUUGGGCCACAGGAUAGGAUAUAGUUAUUAAGUUUAAUAACUUGACCAUGACAAAAAAAAAUAUACAUAGCAAGCGUUAUAGGCUUAGUAAGCGUAGCAAAGUUAAAAAGCUUCAAAAGGCCAGGAAUAUACUCUUGGAGAAAGUCGUGAGCCAUGCUGCUAAAAAUCUCAGCCUCCAAACCAAUCACGAAUCCUUCGAGAAAUUAAGUACUCUACGUUCCACAUUACCUAGCAGGUUUAAAAUGGUAAUAGAUGAAGUUCAGAAUCCGGACGUUAUGAAUAGUGUCAACUAAAAUUAGAUCUAGAAGCAGUAAUGUAUUAUGCUUUGUGGGCGUUCUUCUUAGCCACACUACCCUCCCAUAAGACCGCUAUCACUAAAAAAUUGACCAACUCAAGCAGAUACUAUUACAUAAUGUCAGGUUUUGCAGUUCAGUAUAUCAAGUACAAGAAUGCUAAGUUUGAUGAUAAAAAGUUUCAGUAGCUUAUUCUUUGA